rnacentral:rRNA from 1 species
CUAACUACCUGCCAUCAGCCGCGGUAAUACUUGCGGUGCAAGCGUUAAUCGGAAUUACUGGGCG